UACGUAGGUGGCAAGCGUUGUCCGGAAUUACUGGGUGUAAAGGGAGCGCAGGCGGGAAGCCAAGUCAGCUGUGAAAACUACGGGCUUAACUUGUAGACUGCAGUUGAAACUGGUUUUCUUGAGUGAAGUAGAGGUUGGCGGAAUUCCGAGUGUAGCGGUGAAAUGCGUAGAUAUUCGGAGGAACACCGGUGGCGAAGGCGGCCAACUGGGCUUUAACUGGCGCUGAGGCUCGAAAGUGUGGGGAGCAAACAGG
rnacentral:rRNA from 1 species